GCCCUAGUAGCUUAUAAAAAGCACCGGUCUUGUAAUCCGAAGAUUGAAGGUUAAAGUCCUUCCUAGCGCU
rnacentral:tRNA from 1 species